rnacentral:rRNA from 1 species
GAUGAAUGCUGGCGGCAUGCCUAACACAUGCAAGUCGAACGAAGCCUUCGGGCUUAGUGGCGCACGGGUGCGUAACGCGUGGGAAUCUGCCCUUGGGUUCGGAAUAACUCUCCGAAAGGAGUGCUAAUACCGGAUGAUGUCGAAAGACCAAAGAUUUAUCGCCCAGGGAUGAGCCCGCGUAGGAUUAGCUAGUUGGUGAGGUAAAAGCUCACCAAGGCGACGAUCCUUAGCUGGUCUGAGAGGAUGAUCAGCCACACUGGGACUGAGACACGGCCCAGUCUCCUACGGGAGGCAGCAGUGGGGAAUAUUGGACAAUGGGCGAAAGCCUGAUCCAGCAAUGCCGCGUGAGUGAUGAAGGCCUUAGGGUUGUAAAGCUCUUUUACCCGGGAUGAUAAUGACAGUACCGGGAGAAUAAGCCCCGGCUAACUCCGUGCCAGCCGCCGCAGUAA